AAACCUCUGUGCAUGGAAAAUAAGCCCAGAGCUAAACGUUCCCUAAGUGAGUGGCCUUUGACAGCGGUGCUGGGCAGCCCAGUGGGUGCAGGGACAUCACAGAUGGAGGAAGGGCCAGGCUUCCCAGACAGCCUCUGCCAGUCCAGGCAGGGGCUCCAGGGUGGCUGCGGGAAGGCAGCUUAGGCGGUGCCCAGCCCAAGGACUUGCUGUGCUCAGAUCCUCCAUUCAGGAGAGCUACAGACAUGGGGGUGCUGGUGAGCAGGAGCUGAGACCGUCUGGGGUGGGACCGACCAAGAGUUUGAGGUGUCCAGGGGGCGACGUGAAGAUGACCUAUCGCAGAGGGUCCCUUCUCAUUCACGCCCUGAAGUCUGCACAGGGGCAGGGGCUACCGUGCUGCAUUUCAGUUUGGCCUCUGUUGUAUCAGCCAGAGGCCAGCAGAACUCUAUGGUCACCCCCCCGUGUCUCGGACAAUUUGCCACCCCCAGCGGCAGCCCA
rnacentral:sRNA from 1 species